UCCCUGGUGGUCCAGUGGUUGGGACUCUGCACUUUCACUGCUGAGGGGUGGGUUUGAUCCCUGAUCAGGGAA
rnacentral:tRNA from 1 species